rnacentral:rRNA from 1 species
UACGUAGGGUGCGAGCGUUAAUCGGAAUUACUGGGCGUAAAGCGUGCGCAGGCGGUUUUGUAAGCCAGAUGUGAAAUCCCCGGGCUCAACCUGGGAAUGGCAUUUGGGACUGCAAGGCUGGAGUGCGGCAGAGGAGACUGGAAUUCCUGGUGUAGCAGUGAAAUGCGUAGAUAUCACUCGGAAGGCCAACGGCGAAGGCAGGUCACUGGUGCGCAACUGACGCUGAGGCACGAAAGCGUGGGGAGCAAACAGG